rnacentral:rRNA from 1 species
UACGUAGGGUGCGAGCGUUAAUCGGAAUUACUGGGCGUAAAGCGUGCGCGGGCGGUCUUGCAAGACAGGUGUGAAAUCCCCGGGCUUAACCUGGGAACUGCACUUGUGACUGCAAGGCUGGAGUACGGCAGAGGGGGAUGGAAUUCCGCGUGUAGCAGUGAAAUGCGUAGAUAUGCGGAGGAACACCAAUGGCGAAGGCAAUCCCCUGGGCCUGUACUGACGCUCAUGCACGAAAGCGUGGGGAGCAAACAGG